UUCUAUUAGGGGCCAGCUGUUCCGUUUCAGAAAAUACGGAAUGCACACGGACAUCAUCCGUAUUCUUUGCGGACCAGAAAAUACAUAUGGUCGUGUGCAUGAGCCCUUAAAGGGGCAUUCCGGUUAGAUUAGGUUAUCACCCAUUUACAGGAUAAGGGAUAACUAUUAUAUCGGUGAGGGUCCUACCGCUGAGACCCCCACUGAUCACGAGAACGGGGGUCCUGUAUCACCUGCAGCCCCACUGAAAUGAAUGGAACGGCCAGUUGCACAUGCGUGUGCCCGCUUCAUUAAUUUCUAUGGGAGUUGCAGAGAGAGAGUACAGCGCUCAGCUAUCUCCAGAAUUUCCAUAGAAAUGAAUGUCAUGUGCUCCACCUGCUCCAUUCAUUUCAGGGGGCUACGGGGCCCCCGUUCUUAUGAUUGGUGGGCGUCCCAGCAUUAGGACCCCAUAUCCUGUAGAUAGGGGAUAACUUAAUCUAACCGGAAUACCCCUUUAAGACUAGUUUCACACUAGUGUUAAAAUUAUCUGGCAGAGGAACAGCCUGCCGGAGUUCAUCGCAUCUGGCAUAGCCGGAAAGGGCCAGAGCCGGGCAAGACCCCAUUGACUAUAAGGGGACCAAGCCUGUUUCCUGCACUCAUGCUGGGAUUCAGCAGGACAAAAAUCGGUGCUUGCAAAAAUACUGUUUUAGUCUGGCGAAUGUCAGCACGAGUGCCGGAAAUAGGUUGGGUCCCCUUAUAGUCAAUGGGCUCCGACGGGCUAGAGAGUUUUAACACUAGUGUGAAACCAGCCAUAGGCCUCAUACACACAACCAUGAUCUUAUUGUGGUACGCAAACCAUGAAUCCACACAAUACCGAUACCGUCCGCUCUGCAUUUUACUCACUCCCAUUAAUAUAAAUGACUAUUCCCUUCUGCAAUACAUACCAGACUAGGACAUGUUCUAUAAUUUGGACGGAUCCACAAACAAUACGGAUGUGUGCACGCCCCAUAGAAAUGAAUGUUCAAAAAGCGCAUAGUAUGGGGGAUGUGCACGAAAAACAUGGCCGCCCUCUUCCAGAAACUGCUCCCACACCUAUUCAUGAGCUGUGUAUCGUAGCUCAACUCUGUUGUAGUGAAUGGGGUUGAGGUGCAAUAUGGCACCAAACCUGGACAACCCCAUAAUCACAAAGCACCAAAGCUCUGUAGAGACUGGGCGACACGUAUUUCAAGCCAUUCACACAGUGACAUGACGGUAUUGAAGUACAUAAUGUACUUAUACAAUAGUCAUGGGGCUAGAGAUGGACAAUGUCAUUCUAUAUAGAAACCCUGAUCUCUAGACGCAUCAGUUCUAUAAAAUAUACAAGAUAGAAGCACAAUAUAAAAUAUGUCUCCCCCCCCUAUUAUGCUAUCAUUUGGAAUAUAAUUUUUUAAUAACAUUUUUUAUUUUUUACACAAUGAUAGAGUCUUAAAAAUCUAGCGACUCCUUUAAUAUAGUAUAGUAAAGUUCUCUUCCGUGCAAAUGUAGGUAAAAUGUCUAAUGUGAUGGCCAGGCCUGGAACAGGAGAAGUCACUAGGCCUCACUGAUCAGAACAGGCCUUGUUGCCCAUAGCAACCAAUCAGAAUGCAGCUUUCAUAUUUUCACAGCAGUGUAAGAAUUGUAAGAUGGGCUCUGAUUGGUUGCUAUGGGCUACAGGGCCUGUUCUGUCAGACCUUCACGAUUACCCACUUUCUAUAUGACGUCUUGUUUUACUGAAUGAUCUGCCAGAGAUUGUGUGAAAUGUCUAUAUGGUUUUAGAGCAUUCACCCCAAAUAAAUAAUUAAAUUGUCCUCUUCGCCCAAGCUCUUAUAAACCCUAUUCUGCCUGUUCCUUAGUAGUGUGUCUUUAGAAAAGCCUGGUGACAAACAAUAUGGCUGUCUUUACUGUUCCACAAUCUAUACCUAGUGCCACCAAGGCACCUACCUAGCGUUUGCCAUUACAGCUAUCAGAGGGAUUGUCUUUGGGCUCAUGAACACAAAGUAUUAUGGCUGUAUUUUAAGUGGGUGUUCCCGGGUGCUCUUGGGACUUAAAAGGGUUGCCCACUCCUAUACUACGGAUGGCCCAUUCUCAGGACCGGCCAUUGAGAUCUGAUCUGUGAGGGUCCGACACCAUAAUCCUUGACGAUGAGCUGUUCUGCACUAGUCCCGGAACUACACCGCUCUGCCCACUACACAAUGGAUGGUGCCGUUUAGUUUCAAGCCCUGAAACAGUAGUUUGAUGGGGGUCCAGGGUGUCAGACCAUCCCCCCAACCAUAGAUCACAUAUGGAUGAUGACAGCCCAUAGAUCGUAUAGAAGUGGACGACCCUUUAAAGGGCAUCUGUCAGCAAAUUUGUACUUCUGAAACUGUCUGACUUGUUACAUGUGCGCUUGGCAGCUCUGAGCAUCCGUGCUGGUCCCAUGUUCAUAUGUGCCCA